AUGAGCUUUGCUGCUGAACCUGUAGUUUUUGUUACAGAGGAAAACCAAACGAUUUCUCCUUCUGAGACCUGGCAAUCAGGAGGGACUGACAACCCCUGUUGGGCUGUCGGUGGUGAAGGUUAUAGGCUCCAGGAAAGCAAAGCGUGUACCUGGGCUGGCAUGCAGCUUUCUGCUGCCAUUUGCCCCUUCCUGGCUGCCACUGGUGUCCCGUUGAGGUCCCAGGAGAGGAGCAAAGAGAGAGGGCUGUGGAGACAGAGGCCUGGGUUUGUGUCCCCCAGCUCUGUGGGCCUCUGCAAAUACUUCCUCUCUGGGUCACAGGUUUUUCUUUUUCAGGUGAGGAUGUUACACAAAUGCCUCGGAAAGCCCUUGAGCCUGUGGGCUCCCACUCUCGUCAGACGCUUAGUGGAACAACUUAUCUCAGGUCCUUUGCUGUCAUAAUGAAAAGCUGGCUGAGACGGUGUCUGGUGCUGAGCUGGGUACCGAGAGUGCAAGGGUGAGUGGAACAUCAGUGCGCCACUUCAAAGCUGGUUCGGGCAAUUUGCUUUACUCUUCUAAGGGACAUGCAGGAGGGUAUAAUAAGGGUCCUCCAGCCUAAGGGUCACUGGGGGAGCUCAUUUAAAACAGAUUGCUGGGGGCUGGCACUGUGGCACAACAGGUUAACACCUUGGCCUGCAGUGCCAGCAUCCCAUAUGGUGCUGGUUCGAGCCCCGGCUGCUCCACUUCCCAUCCAGCUCUCUGCUAUGGCCUGGGAAAGCAGUAGAAGAUGGCCCAAGACCUUGGGCCCUGCACCUGCAUGGGAGAUCCAGAAGAAGAUCCUGGAUUUGGAUUGGUGAAGCUCCGGCCGUCCUGGCCAAUUAGAGAGUGAACCAUCAGAUGGAAGACUCACCUCUCCCCUCUCCCCUCUCCCCUGUCUGUGUAACUCUGACUUUCAAAUAAAUAAAUAAAUCAAAAAAAAAAAAAAGAUUGC
rnacentral:lncRNA from 1 species